rnacentral:lncRNA from 10 species
CUGCUCACACCGACUGGUGCUAAUCCCGGGUGGGUGGAGCCCACAGAGUCACCUGAGAUGGGGCAGGCAAACAGCAAAAUGUUUCUGACUACAGGGUAUGUCUAUGACCUGGCGGAGCCUGGCUGACCCCGUUGGUGCCACUGCUGGGGCGGCCCUCCCACCCCCACUCACAUAGCUGAGGGGCUGGGCCACGUCUAGUCUAGGGCCCCUCCCAUGGUAAAGCCCACAGCACAUGUCUCCUUUUUAAGGAAGGACCUGGUAUCUCUACAAAGAGCCAAAAUUCUUGGAUUUAAAAAAAAACAAGAG